rnacentral:rRNA from 1 species
GACGAACGCUGGCGGCGUGCUUAACACAUGCAAGUCGAACGGAAAGGCCUGCUUUCCCUUGUGGAUUGCGGGUACUCGAGUGGCGAACGGGUGAGUAACACGUGAGUGAUCUGCCCCCAACUUGGGUAUAAGCCUGGGAAACUGGGUCUAAUUCCCGAUAGGACUGCAGGGUGGUGCCUGUGGUGGAACACGAUUUUCUAGUGGUUGGGGAUGAGCUCGCGGCCUAUCAGCUUGUUGGUGGGGUAAUGGCCUACCAAGGCGGCGACGGGUAGCCGGCCUGAGAGGGUGGACGGCCACAUUGGGACUGAGAUACGGCCCAGACUCCUACGGGAGGCAGCAGUGGGGAGUAUUACACAAUGGGCGGAAGCCUGAUGCAGCGACGCCGCGUGGGGGAUGACGGCCUUCGGGUUGUAAACUCCUUUCGACCGCGAGGAAGCCACCUGGUUGGAAGGGUGGUGACGGUAGUGGUAGAAGAAGCACCGGCUAACUACGUG